GAGGAAUUAGUUAAACUAUAACACUGCCUUGUCAAGACAGAAUUACAAGUUAGACCCCCUGUACUCCUCU
rnacentral:tRNA from 1 species